rnacentral:rRNA from 1 species
AGCGAACGCUGGCGGCAUGCCUAACACAUGCAAGUCGAACGAGACCUUCGGGUCUAGUGGCGCACGGGUGCGUAACGCGUGGGAACCUGCCCUUAGGUUCGGAAUAACUCCCCGAAAGGGGUGCUAAUACCGGAUAAUGUCUUCGGACCAAAGAUUUAUCGCCUUUGGAUGGGCCCGCGUUGGAUUAGCUAGUUGGUAGGGUAAAAGCCUACCAAGGCGACGAUCCAUAGCUUGUCUGAGAGGAUGAUCAGCCACACUGGGACUGAGACACGGCCCAGACUCCUACGGGAGGCAGCAGAGGGGAAUAUUGGACAAUGGGCGAAAGCCUGAUCCAGCAAUGCCGCGUGAGUGAUGAAGGCCUUAGGGUUGUAAAGCUCUUUUACCCGGGAUGAUAAUGACAGUACCGGGAGAAUAAGCGCCGGCUAACUCCGUG